CAAAGAGUUGUCAAGGAAAUGAAAAUCUUAAGAACCGAACAAAGUUUGAAUCUUUGUUUCAAACCACUUUAUAUGUUGGAUCAAUCUGAUUUGAAAGUUUGUUACCUCAAUGCAAGAUCUCUGCAUAAACACAUUGAAGAUGUUCGAAAAGAUAUUAAUUACUCGUCUAUGGAUAUUGUGAUAUUUACUGAAACAAGGUUUAACUCCUCGGACACUGACGAUAUAUACAACAUUGAUGGCUACAGGUUGUUCAGAAAUGAUGUUUCCCAAGGUACGGGUCCAGGACGUCCAUACGGUGGAACUGCUGUUUAUAGCCGAGUCCCUUUAAAAGAAGGAUACCCUUAUACUCACAACGUCAAUGGAAUCGAGUUCACAAUUAUUAAAACAGAAAGUAAUCCGCAUUUGAAUAUAAUUGGAGUAUAUCGUUCACCCAAUAUUGCUAUAUCACGUCUACUGUCUUCACUACGUAGCGUACUUGAUGAAGAUUCUUCUGCACAAAACAUUAUAAUUGGAGAUUUCAAUGUCAACUGGAUGGUAGAAUCUGAUCGACAGUCACUCUACAAUUUGAUGGUUGUACAAAAUCAUUACAGGCAACUGAUAGCAGGCUUUACAACCGACAACAGAACGUUAAUUGAUCAUUUAUACACAAAUUUAAUUGAAGAGGAAAUUGAAGCUGGUAUUCUAGAAACAUACUUUAGUGAUCAUAAAGCAAUAUGGGCUUCUCUUAGGACAUAGAAAUAAUAAUUAUAUACCGUUCAAUUAGGUAUUGCAAAGAUAGCAAGCCAUUGUGCCACUGCAUGCGAAUGUUAUUAAGGCAAGCCAUUCCGCCACUGCCAAUGUUAUUAAGGCAAGCCAUUGCGCCACUCCCAGUGUUAUUAACGCAAGCCGCUGUGCCACUGUCAAUGUUAUAAAAUUAAGUCAUUGUGUGGACGAUGGCUAUACAUUUAGGUAAGUUUUCUUUUUAUCUCUUUCCCCCUCUCCCUUCCAUGUAUUUUUGUGUUUAAUUGGGUUUUUUCUUUUUUAGAUAUCUCUAUACAUUAAUCAUGGUCACUUUAAUGAUAACUUCAGUCAACAAAAGUACUCAAAAUAGAUACUUGGUAUGUUGCUACGUCUUAUUACCACAUCUAGUCAUAUCACCAACAAAGCUCCGACUGUAUGGCUUAUCCACGUUACGUUAAUUGCAUUCACUAAUACUGUUGCAUUAAUGUUUACAGAUAUACCAAAGAUGUACUAUACAAGAAUACUGACAACAUUGGUGGAUAAAUUAUAUUGAAUGAUAUCAUCUUAUGUCAAUUAAUAUGCGAAAAUGAAACAAUUCAUUUCAGCUACCAAUUGCUUCAACGAAAUCGCACGUACAAAGAAAACGUCUACAGUUGUGUUCGUUAUGUAUUCUGAAAAUUCAUUGUGGAAGACAUGAAAAUUAAGAAAGAUGCACAGUACUUCAAGAUACAACUUGGAUAUUUGUUGUAAGGCACAUUGCACCUGGCUCUGAUACCAAAACAUGUUAAUUAAAGCGAAAAGCUGCUCAACGAAGUCGCACAUACAGUACAAAGAAAAGCUAAAACUUGAUAAUUAAGAAAGAUGCACAGUACUUGAAGAAGUACUUUGUUGUAUGGUACAUUGCACCUGUUCAAAUAGUCAGAAUCGAGCCCAAAAUGGUCAGUAACAACGGGAAUUAUAAAUAACGAACAUUCAGCUAGUGAAAACUAAAAGACCAGUCACUUUUCUAUGACAAUAGAACACGUAUUAUUGCGUAUUACAGUGCAUGUUCUACCCUGUUUAAGUUUGAAGAUGUUGAUUAUGAUGCAUAUCAAGUCCAUUGCUCGUAUAACAGACUUAUA